GGCUCUCUAGCUGAGAUAGAUUAGCGCGUGUCUGAAGAACACGAGAGGCGGGUGCGUUACCUGCGGGAGCCA
rnacentral:tRNA from 1 species